rnacentral:tRNA from 1 species
GCUUGGAUGGCUCAGUUGGUUAGAGCGCAGGUCUCAUACUUUCGUGUGACCGUUCUGAACGGGUAAUCCUGAGGUCGUGAGUUCGAUCCUCACUCCGAGCA